rnacentral:rRNA from 1 species
UACGUAGGGGGGCAAGCGUUUGUCCGGAAUCAUUGGGCGUAAAGAGCGCGUAGGCGGUCCGGUAAGUCGGUUGUGAAAACUGGGGGGCUCAACCCUCAGAGGCCGACCGAUACUGUCGGGCUAGAGUCCGGAAGAGGCGAGUGGAAUUCCUGGUGUAGCGGUGAAAUGCGCAGAUAUCAGGAGGAACACCAAUGGCGAAGGCAGCUCGCUGGGGACGGUACUGACGCUGAGGCGCGAAAAGCGUGGGGGAGCAAACAGG